CUGGCGGCGUGCCUAAUACAUGCAAGUCGAACGGUCUUUCUAUGGAAGCUUGCUUCCACUGAGAAGAUAGUGGCGAACGGGUGAGUAACACGUGGGUAACCUGCCCAUAAGAGGGGGAUAACAUCCGGAAACGGGUGCUAAUACCGCAUAGUUUUCUUGAUCGCAUGAUCGGGAAAGGAAAGACGGCCUUUGUGCUGUCGCUUAUGGAUGGACCCGCGGCGUAUUAGUUAGUUGGUGAGGGUAACGGCUCACCAAGACGAUGAUACGUAGCCGACCUGAGAGGGUGAUCGGCCACAUUGGGACUGAGACACGGCCCAAACUCCUACGGGAGGCAGCAGUAGGGAAUCUUCCGCAAUGGACGAAAGUCUGACGGAGCAACGCCGCGUGAGUGAAGAAGGUUUUCGGGAAUCGUAAAACUCUGUUGUCAGAGAAGAACAAGUUGGAGAGUAACUGCUCCAGCCUUGACGGUAUCUGACCAGAAAGCCACGGCUAACUACGUGCCAGCAGCAGC
rnacentral:rRNA from 1 species